UUUCCGUAGGUGAACCUGCGGAAGGAUCAUUGAAAAAUGUGGUACCGAUUGUUGGUACUAAUUAAUCAUCCUACCCUUUGUGAAUUUGUUUGUAACGAAUUUUUUUAAAUGGGUCUUUCCCUAAGUUGGAUUGUAGUAAAAUACAAAAAGACUUAGGGGAAUGACUUUUUUAAAAGACUUUUUUUUAAAUUAAAACUUUUUGUAUUCAUUUGUCUAAAAUUUAUUUUUAUAAUAUAAAAACAACUUUUGACAAUGGAUCUCUUGGUUCUCGCAACGAUGAAGAACGCAGCAAAAUGCGAUAAGUAGUGUGAAUUGCAGAAUACGUGAAUCAUCGAAUCUUCGAACGCAUAUUGCACUUUUUUAGUUUACUAAAAAAGUAUGUCUGUUUGAGUAUCAGUAAAAUAUUCUCACAAAACAUAUUUGUUUUGUGGUAUGAGUGUUUUACAACGAUAAACAAGUUGUUUCACUUUAAAUUCUUUUUAAGUUAUUUUACCAAUUCAUAAAUUAAAAUUGGAUAAAAUUUUCCUUUAACGAGGAAUAACCUAAACAAUUUUAAAUUUUAUGGUUUGUAAACAUCAUCAAAGGAAUCUAUACACAAAUAACUUGAUCUCAAAUCAGAUAAGAGUACCCGCUGAACUUAAGCAUAUCAAUAAGCGGAGGAAAAGAAACUAACAAGGAUUCCCUUAGUAACGGCGAGUGAAGCGGGAAGAGCUCAAAUUUGAAAUCUUCAAGGUUUGACCUUGACGAAUUGUAGUUUAUAGAAGUGUUUUCUGUUGGAGUUUUGGUAAAAGUUCUUUGGAAUAGGACAUCAUAGGGGUGAGAAUCCCGUAUUUGACCAUGACUUUCCAGCUGUGUGAUACACUUUCAAAGAGUCGGAUUGUUUGGGAAUGCAGUCCAAAAUGGGUGGUAAAUUUCAUCUAAAGCUAAAUAUUGGCGUGAGACCGAUAGCGAACAAGUACCGUGAGGGAAAGAUGAAAAGAACUUUGAAAAGAGAGUUAAACAGUACGUGAAAUUGUCAAAAGGGAAGCGUUUGACACCAGUGUUGUUUUCUCGAAAAUCAAUUUAAUGAGUUCUUGUUUUUAAGUUAUUGUGACUUUAUCAGCGCAUUUCUUAUUUUACUUGACUCAUUGAAUGCACUUUUCGUUUAACAAGUCAACAUCAAUUUCUUUGGUGGUAAAAAGUUUAAAGGAAGGUGGCUUGGACUUCGGUUCAAGUGUUUAUAGCCUUUUUUCUAUGCCAUCGGAGAGAUUGAGGUCUGCAGCGUAGAUCCUUCGGGGUUAGAUACCUUUGUGCUAAGUUAUAGUUUUUUAUAGACAACUUGUUGACUAUAAUUAACCCUGUAAUUUACUCGCUUAGGCUAUUU
rnacentral:misc_RNA from 1 species